AUGCUGCUCUUUAAUCUUAUUCUCUUAAUGCUUCUACUAGGUGACUCCAUGGCAGAUCCAAUAGAGCCACUUUUCACUCAUAAAGUUGUAGAUGAAGGUGAUGAUGUUACUCUGUCCUGCAGCUGCAAAGACUUCAGUGAUACCAUAUAUAAUGUGCAGUGGUACAGGCAAUAUAUGAACUCUAAACCUGAGUUCCUUCUUUAUGUUACUCCAAGUGGAGAUCUAAGUUCCCCCAUCCCCGAUGGAAUGUCUGCUAAAGUUCAUGAUGAUAAACAAGUGGAUCUGAUCAUCUCCUCUGCUGCUGUAUCAGACUCUGCUCUAUACUACUGUGCUCUGACG